rnacentral:lncRNA from 1 species
AUGGGGACAGCGGUGACAGCCUGGGGACACGGGGACACACAGAGAAAUGGGGACGGACAGGGACAAUGGGACAUGGGGCACAGAGGGGCACAGGGACAGGGGCACACAGGGACUUGCAGAUCAAGAGCAUCAUCAUCAGGUGCAGGACACACGGGGACACACAGGGACACAGGGACAGACAGGGACAGUGGGGACAGCCUGGGGACAUGGGUACACACAGGGCUAUGGGGGUACAGGGACACACUGGGGACAAGGGGGCACACAGGGACAUGGGGACAGACAGGGGCACACAGGGAUAUGGGAGGGACACGGGGACACACAGGGACAUUGGGGACAUGGGGACACACAGGGAUAUGGGGUACAGGGACACACAGGGAGAUUGGGAACAGACAGGGACAUGGGGACGUGGGAACAGACAGGGACAGUGGGACACACAGGGACAUGGGGACACACAGGGACACAUGGGAACAGACAGGGACAUGGGGACAUGGGAACAGACAGGGACAGUGGGACACACAGGGACAGAGAGGACUCAGAUCAAGAUUUUCUUCAGCAGGUGAGGGACACACAGGGACAGCGGGGACACCCUGGGGACACACAGGGUAUGGGAACAUGGGGACACACAGGGAUAUGGGGAUACAGGGACACAGGGACAGACAGGGGACACUGCGAACAGACAGGGACAUGGGGACACACAGGGACAGAGGGACCCACAGAUCAAGAGCGUCUUCAGCAGGCGAGGGACACACAGGGACAGCGGGGACACCGGGAGACAGAGGGACAUGGGGACACAGGGACAGGGACACACAGGGACUCGCAGAUCAAGAACAUCAUUGGCAGGUGAGGGACACAUGGGGACAGCAGGGACAGCCUGGGGACACGGGGACACACAGGGACAUGGGGGCACACAGGGAUGUGGGGAUACAGGGACACAGGGACAUGGGGACAGCCAGGGGACAUGGGGAAGCUGGGGACAGAAAGGGACAUGAGAACAUGGGUACAGCCAGGGGACAGCCAGGGACAUGGGGACAGCCAGGGGACGUUGGGGAUGGACAGGGGACAUGGGGAUGUUGGGGAUAG